rnacentral:snoRNA from 1 species
CCCCUUUGGAAAGCACUCAUUGGGCCUUUUGCCUGUGACCCAGUGAGCCGUCAAAACUGGCAGAUUAAAAAAUACCACUUUGGGGUGAAGCGGCAACAUCUCAUGUUGUUCAGCUUCAAUCAGUGAUGUGACCAAA